ensembl:lncRNA
AAAUCGUGUGAAUGCUAUAAAAACAACAUGACAGAUCAAUGUUGACAAAUGACACCAAGACUGUCAUGCUUCUAUGUGAACAAGCUCAGAUAAACUAAACAAAAAUCAGAAAAAUAUUUUCAAAGCUGCAUUUGAAACAACAAGAGAACAGUGAAAAUCAUCGUCUGCAUAAUGCCACCACCUCUGUGUUUGUGCAUUUGACAAUGACAUGUGCAUUAUGAGUGUAUACAGAUGCAAUCUCAACUCUGUUGAGAAACAUCAAUUAUUCGGCAGCGGUGUCAGUUCGAAAGGCAGCACUUUAUAUCUGCCAGCCUUUCAUUCCAGGCAUCAUCUGUUUGUGCCAGGUGGGAGAAAGUUCUCUGGCAGAAAUAAUGACCAAAUAGAAGCAAGUCUUUGAAGACAAGAAUCAAAGAAUUCCAGCCGCUGGAUCGAGGGAAUUGAUAAUGACAGUGUUUUUCGUCAGGGCAGUGAGAUUAAUCAUAGACCGAGGGGAGAGGGAAUGGAGGGAAAGAAGAAAAAAAAAAAACUGAGACAAACAUUUCUACCGAUCCUAAUGUUUUCUGCCGUGGACUGACUGCUGAGCUCUAUAGGCGCUGGUUUGUGGAGCAGACUGGGAGCGAGCUCAUUAAUGCAUGUGUGGAUGGAUCAGAAGAGAGACUCACUAUGUUCUCUCUUUCUUUAACAGCGGACUGAAAAAAACAUACACAAGAUGGAAGAGGGAGAUGAUAAAGGUUGUGCUGCCUUAACGGAGGCUUCUGGUUGCAAUGCUUCACUGGGCUGUAAGAAAUCACAACACUGCUGGAAAUGCACUGGGGAUUUUCAACAGGCAUUUUUGAAUGUGUCUUACAGCAUAUUCUUUUUUUCUGUUCUAUUCUGCAAUGCAUAUGUCAGUGAUUAUACAACAGUUCUAUUGACCAAAUUGUCUUUAAAGACCAGUUCUGGUAGAAAUGCUCAUGUAUUAAAGAUGAAAAGCAAUAAUGCUUGUGUGAUAUGCUAUAUCAGUAUCAGCCAGUAUUAAUAUUUUUCCCCUUAAAUUACGUUACAUGUUACAUGCACUUAAUAUUUCAAAAACAAUAAAUUAUGGAUAAUUGCAUGCA